rnacentral:rRNA from 1 species
GAUGAACGCUGGCGGCGUGCCUAAUACAUGCAAGUCGAGCGAACAGACGAGGAGCUUGCUCCUCUGACGUUAGCGGCGGACGGGUGAGUAACACGUGGAUAACCUACCUAUAAGACUGGGAUAACUUCGGGAAACCGGAGCUAAUACCGGAUAAUAUAUUGAACCGCAUGGUUCAAUAGUGAAAGACGGUUUUGCUGUCACUUAUAGAUGGAUCCGCGCCGCAUUAGCUAGUUGGUAAGGUAACGGCUUACCAAGGCGACGAUGCGUAGCCGACCUGAGAGGGUGAUCGGCCACACUGGAACUGAGACACGGUCCAGACUCCUACGGGAGGCAGCAGUAGGGAAUCUCCCGCAAUGGGCGAAAGCCUGACGGAGCAACGCCGCGUGAGUGAUGAAGGUCUUCGGAUCGUAAAACUCUGUUAUUAGGGAAGAACAAAUGUGUAAGUAACUAUGCACGUCUUGGCGGUACCUAAUCAGAAAGCCACGGCUAACUACGUG